rnacentral:rRNA from 1 species
UACAGAGGGGGCAAGCGUUAUUCGGAAUUAUUGGGCGUAGAGGGCGCGUAGGCGGCCUGGCAAGUGGAAGGUGAAAUCCCUCGGCUUAACCGAGGAACUGCCUCCCAAACUGCUUGGCUUGAGACCGGGAGAGGUGAGUGGAAUUCCCAGUGUAGCGGUGAAAUGCGUAGAUAUUGGGAGGAACACCAGUGGCGAAGGCGGCUCACUGGACCGGUACUGACGCUGAUGCGCGAAAGCGUGGGGAGCAAACGGG